AUUGAACGCUGGCGGCAGGCCUAACACAUGCAAGUCGAGCGGAUGAAGGGAGUUUGCUCCUGGAUUCAGCGGCGGACGGGUGAGUAAUGCCUAGGAAUCUGCCUGGUAGUGGGGGAUAACGCCCGGAAACGGGCGCUAAUACCGCAUACGUCCUGAGGGAGAAAGUGGGGGAUCUUCGGACCUCACGCUAUCAGAUGAGCCUAGGUCGGAUUAGCUAGUUGGUGGGGUAAAGGCCUACCAAGGCGACGAUCCGUAACUGGUCUGAGAGGAUGAUCAGUCACACUGGAACUGAGACACGGUCCAGACUCCUACGGGAGGCAGCAGUGGGGAAUAUUGGACAAUGGGCGAAAGCCUGAUCCAGCCAUGCCGCGUGUGUGAAGAAGGUCUUCGGAUUGUAAAGCACUUUAAGUUUGGAGGAAGGGCAGUAAGUUAAUACCUUGCUGUUUUGACGUUACCAACAGAAUAAGCACCGGCUAACUUCGUG
rnacentral:rRNA from 1 species